UUAACACAUGCAAGUCGAGCGGCAGCACGGGGAGCUUGCUCCCUGGUGGCGAGCGGCGGACGGGUGAGUAAUGCAUAGGAAUCUGCCCGGUAGUGGGGGAUAACGUGGGGAAACCCACGCUAAUACCGCAUACGUCCUACGGGAGAAAGCGGAGGAUCUUCGGACUUCGCGCUAUCGGAUGAGCCUAUGUCGGAUUAGCUAGUUGGUAAGGUAACGGCUUACCAAGGCGACGAUCCGUAGCUGGUCUGAGAGGAUGAUCAGCCACACUGGGACUGAGACACGGCCCAGACUCCUACGGGAGGCAGCAGUGGGGAAUAUUGGACAAUGGGCGAAAGCCUGAUCCAGCCAUGCCGCGUGUGUGAAGAAGGCUUUCGGGUUGUAAAGCACUUUCAGCGAGGAAGAAAGCCUGGUGGUUAAUACCCAUCAGGAAGGACAUCACUCGCAGAAGAAGCACCGGCUAACUCCGUGCCAGCAGCCGCGGUAAUACGGAGGGUGCGAGCGUUAAUCGGAAUUACUGGGCGUAAAGCGCGCGUAGGUGGCUUGGCACGCCGGUUGUGAAAGCCCCGGGCUCAACCUGGGAACGGCAUCCGGAACGGCCAGGCUAGAGUGCAGGAGAGGAAGGUAGAAUUCCCGGUGUAGCGGUGAAAUGCGUAGAGAUCGGGAGGAAUACCAGUGGCGAAGGCGGCCUUCUGGCCUGACACUGACACUGAGGUGCGAAAGCGUGGGUAGCAAACAGGAUUAGAUACCCUGGUAGUCCACGCCGUAAACGAUGUCGACUAGCCGUUGGGACCUUUAAGGACUUAGUGGCGCAGUUAACGCGAUAAGUCGACCGCCUGGGGAGUACGGCCGCAAGGUUAAAACUCAAAUGAAUUGACGGGGGCCCGCACAAGCGGUGGAGCAUGUGGUUUAAUUCGAUGCAACGCGAAGAACCUUACCUACCCUUGACAUCCUGAGAACUUUCCAGAGAUGCAUUGGUGCCUUCGGGAACUCUGAGACAGGUGCUGCAUGGCUGUCGUCAGCUCGUGUUGUGAAAUGUUGGGUUAAGUCCCGUAACGAGCGCAACCCUUGUCCUUAUUUGCCAGCACGUAAUGGUGGGAACUCUAAGGAGACUGCCGGUGACAAACCGGAGGAAGGUGGGGACGACGUCAAGUCAUCAUGGCCCUUACGGGUAGGGCUACACACGUGCUACAAUGG
rnacentral:rRNA from 1 species